rnacentral:rRNA from 1 species
CCUACACGACCGUACCGCAAACCGACACUGGUGCGCGAGAUGAGUAUUCUAAGGCGCUUGAGAGAACCCAGGAGAAGGAACUCGGCAAAUUGACACCGUAACUUCGGAAGAAGUUGUGCCUUUAGUAGGUGAAGUCCCUCGCGGAUGGAGCCCAAUGAGGUUGCAAAAAAUCGGUGGCUGCGACUGUUUAUUAAAAACACAGCACUCUGCAAACACGAAAGUGGACGUAUAGGGUGUGACGCCUGCCCGGUGCUGGAAGAUUAAAUGAUGGGGUGCAAGCUCUUGAUUGAAGUCCCAGUAAACGGCGGCCGUAACAAUAUCGGUCCUAAGGUAGCGAAAUUCCUUGUCGGGUAAGUUCCGACCUGCACGAAUGGCGUAACGAUGGCCACACUGUCUCCUCCUGAGACUCAGCGAAGUUGAAAUGUUUGUGAUGAUGCAAUCUCCCCGCGGAAAGACGGAAAGACCCCAUGAACCUUUACUGUAGCUUUGUAUUGGACUUUGAACAGAUCUGUGUAGGAUAGGUGGGAGGCUUUGAAGCAGGGUCGCUAGAUCUUGUGGAGCCAACGUUGAAAUACCACCCUGGUGUGUUUGAGGUCCUAACCUAGGCCCGUAAUCGGGGUUGGGGACAGUGCAUGGUAGGCAGUUUGACUGGGGCGGUCUCCUCCCAAUGUAACGGAGGAGUUCGAAGGUACGCUAGUUACGGUCGGACAUCGUGACGAUAGUGCAAUGGCAUAAGCGUGCUUAACUGCGAGACUGACAAGUCGAGCAGAUGCGAAAGCAGGACAUAGUGAUCCGGUGGUUCUGUAUGGAAGGGCCAUCGCUCAACGGAUAAAAGGUACUCUGGGGAUAACAGGCUGAUACCGCCCAAGAGUUCAUAUCGACGGCGGUGUUUGGCACCUCGAUGUCGGCUCAUCUCAUCCUGGGGCUGUAGCCGGUCCCAAGGGUAUGGCUGUUCGCCAUUUAAAGAGGUACGUGAGCUGGGUUUAAAACGUCGUGAGACAGUUUGGUCCCUAUCUUCCGUGGGCGCUGCAGAUUUGAGGAAGCCUGCUCCUAGUACGAGAGGACCGGAGUGGACGCACCUCUGGUGUAUCGGUUGUCACGCCAGUGGCAUUGCCGAGUAGCUAUGUGCGGAAGAGAUAACCGCUGAAAGCAUCUAAGCGGGAAACUCGUUUCAAGAUGAGAUCUGCCGGGGCCUUGAGCCCCCUGAAGAGUCGUUCAAGACCAGGACGUUGAUAGGUCGGGUGUGGAAGCGCAGUAAUGCGUUAAGCUAACCGAUACUAAUUGCUCGUGCGGCUUGAUC